GCCGCGGCCCCGCCCCGGGCCGCCAUUGCCGGGCCUGUCGGGCAGAGCUGCGCACCUCGCUCGCCUCCCGUCGCGGAGCGGAGCCGAGCGGCCGGCCUGACCAGGCUGCCCCCAACCCAGCUCGCAUCUCCCCCACGGCCAGAGCGCACGGUCCCCAAACAGUGCACCUGCCGGCGGCCCCAACCCAGCGGUAGAAGUGGACAUGAGGCUGGCAGGCCCCCUCCGCAUUGUGGCCCUGGUUGUCACCGUGGGCCUUACCUGGAUCGUGGUCAGCAUCCUCCUGGGUGGGCCUGGCAGUGGCUUUCCUCGCAUCCAGCAACUCUUCACCAGCCCAGAGAACUCAGUGACCACAGAGCCACGAGCCAGGAAGUACAAAUGCGGCCUGCCCCAGCCGUGUCCUGAGGAGCACCUGGCCUUCCGCAUGGUCAGCGGGGCUGCCAAUGUCAUCGGACCAAAGAUCUGCCUCGAAGAUAAAAUGCUCAUGAGCAGUGUCAAGGACAACGUGGGCCGUGGACUGAACAUCGCCCUGGUGAAUGGGGUCAGUGGUGAGCUCAUCGAGGCCCGGGCCUUCGACAUGUGGGCAGGAGAUGUCAACGAUCUGCUGAAGUUUAUUCGGCCACUGCAUGAAGGCACCUUGGUAUUUGUGGCAUCCUACGACGACCCAGCCACCAAGAUGAAUGAAGAGACCAGGAAGCUUUUCAGCGAUCUGGGCAGCAAGAACGUGAAGGAUCUGGCCUUUCGGGACAGCUGGGUGUUUGUGGGGGCCAAGGGCGUGCAGAACAAGAGCCCCUUUGAGCAGAUGCUCAGGCUGGUCCCAUCCUGCUGCGACCCAGUGCCCUGGUUCACACCGCACUUCCUGCUCCCGCCAGCCCCUGCUGCCCUCUGGUCGACUGCUCCUCCAGAGCCACACAUGUCAAGCCCCACGUGAGGGUCUGCGAAGCCCCAGGCACCAUCCUCAUCUGUGGGAGGCUCCUAGCCUGGUGAAAGCCACAGUGCUCCCCAGUCCUGCCGCCCGCCCCCCGCCCCCAGCAGGACAAGGCAAAUAGGCUGUUCAGUGGUUUCUGGAAGGCUCUGGCUGCCAGAAAAGAGCAACUCAGCACCCCGAGAAGAAAUGCGCCCUCUGGCUUUGUUCUUCCUGAAGCUUCCAGCAGCUCCCUGCGGGCCAGCACGUGAAGAACAGUAAGCACACCAAUAAGUACGAAGGCUGGCCUGAGGCGCUGGAGAUGGAAGGCUGCAUCCCGAGGAGGACCACGGCCAGCUAGCCGGCCGAGCGCAAGGACCAGGCUGAGGGAGGCUGCGUGUGCCCGGCCGGGAGAAGGCAGUGGUGGCGCCAGGGCAGGGCCGAGGCCUGACCCCGCGCCCAGCCGGGAACGCUCUUGCCCCAACACGUCGGGGCUCCGAGGCAGGGACCGGGGCCCAAGUGUGACUGGUGGGGGGGCUCACUUGGACAGGGGAAGUCAGGUGCCCAUCUCCUUCUUCUAAAGCUGCCUCCCCUGGGGAGCCCCCACCUGAUCCCCAAGCACCUGCAGCUACAAGGGCCCCGGGGCGUGCCGCCCCCUCACUGCACGAAUGUGGUAGCAGCCCUGCAGGGGCGGGGCAUCUCCCAGAACCUCUCCACCCCAGAGCCACUUGCUGUUCUUUGGGCUAAUCCUGUUUCCAGCACGAGUCCUUCCGACGAGCCACACCUGGUGGCCGCUUCAGGACGCUGGCCGCCUCCUGCCUUGCUCUCUGCCGGAAGGGGCCUCCUUGGAGUCAGGCUGGCAGGGGCGCUAAAGGGGCACCUGAUCACCACCCUUAGCGCAGCAGAUGGCUCCUGCAGUUUGUCAGGGGGCCCGCCCUCUCGAUGACCUCUUAAUAAAUUAGUGGCCCCCA